UCCAAGUAUCCAUAAGAUGAUUUUAAAGAGAGAAAAGAAGGAAAUACCAUGAUUUGAAUCCCUUUUAUUAACAAAAUCUAACAACUAAUGUCUAAAAAAAUUAAGCAAAUUAAUAAUUACACUAUUUUUUUGGUAUUCAUAUAAUUCUUAUCUCUUCCCAACAAAUAUUACCAUGCAAAAAAUGUUUUUUGGAUCUGCAUCAAUACCCAAAGAUGUGGAUAAAAGAUGUUAAUACAUUCAGUGAAAAUUUCUUUAUUAUCUUAAAAAUAUUUUCCUUUUGAAUAAUAAAUAUAAUUUUCACAAUUAGUUGAGUGUACUUUGUUUUUCAGAGAUGGUAGAGUGGUCCAGAGAAACUGCACCUGUCAAUGGAUAUGAAUUCAACUUUGAACAAGAUCUAAACAGAACUUCUGAUUUAAUUGACGUGAAAGUGAUCCUUUCUCAAUAGCUGAAUUUUUAAUUGGAAAGCUUUUCAUUGGACAUCAGACUAUAAGAGGACAACUACAAAGGAUAAUCUCAGAUCUUUCAGAAAUUGUAGUAUAUUGCUCUCUACCAAGGUUAUCCAUUGAUGCAAGGAAGAAUGUGCUGCAGCAAACUAUACACUUCAAAUAAUUUGAUGUUUUACUUUUUUGCCAAAUAUUGUGCUGCAGCAAACUAUACACAUACUGUGUUGUUGCCAUCUCUAAUCUAGUCUUGAUACUAGUGUUCAAAAUGAGAAUGAACUGGAAGCAACAGAAUCACCAAUUCACAAAGCCUUUGAUGCUUAAGAUCAGAGUGGAGAUACGAAAAAUAAGGCUGCAGUUAGCAAAAGUGGCACAGAAAGGAAGAAAAAAGAAGAAAUUCUGAAGCAGGCCCAAUCCAAUAGGGGCGCUAAGCGCGCAUCAGGCGCUAAGCGAGCAACUAACUGCAGGCGCUGAGCGUGGCGUUAAGCACGAAGGUGGAAACCGUUACGCGCGCUAAGCCCAGCUAGGCGCCCAGCGCCCGAUCCAACAGAAGCACAGGCCCAGCGUGCAUGGCGCGCCCAGCGCGCGAUCUGAACGCGCUAAGCGCGAGGUGUGGCGCUGAGCGCGACUACGAAGGCCCAUAAGCCCACUUCAGCAACUAUAAAUAGAGAGGCAGUCCCAAGGAAAUUUCAUCCCAUCUCAGAGCAUCACUCUCAGUACUUCAAGCCUGAGUUUUCUUUUCUCUCUAUAUUCUUUGUUUUGUUAGCCUAUUCUUUCUUUCAUCCCCAGUUGUAAGCCCUCAAUAGCCAUGAGUGGCUAAACCCCUAGCUAGGGCUUGGCAGGCCUAAAAAGCCAACGAUGUACACUGAGCUCCAAGAGUUAUCAAUGCAAAGGAAUUUAUUCCAGGUUUUUCUGUUCUA